rnacentral:tRNA from 4 species
GGAAAUAAAGUAAUUUGAACUUAUUUUUAGGGCGUUCGAUUCGUCCAAAAACUU